GAAUAACAAAUAAAUUUUAAAAAUAAAAGAAUUACAAAGAAUAAAAAUAUAAGCUGAAAAAAAAAAACUCAAUUGAGACAAAAAUAAAACUAAAAGGACAAUUUACAAAUAAAUAAAGCAACAAAGCAUAAUUAAGGAUUAAAGCACAACACGCACAAAUGUUUGAGGACUAAAAGGGAAAUUGUCCCAAAUUCAAAAACGCAGCGUUUAACUAUAGGCUAAAUUAAAACUGCGUACAAAUCUCAGGUAAAAAUUAAACGAAAGAAAAUAUAAAAAGGAUCCAAUCAAAUAAUAGCGCAGACAGGAAGGAUGAAUUGCGGAAUUUACCCAUCUGAACCGCAAAGGCGCGGAUCCAGGCAACGAGCGGGUCGACGCGCGGAUCCUCUUCCCCUUAAACGACACUGUUUCUUCCCUUUUAUAAAACCAAACAUUUCCUUCAAAGAACAAAGAAAACAAUCGGCCAUCUCUAAAAUAAUCCUAGCCCCCUUUCCUUGAUUCUUCCUCAAUCAAAUCCCAAAUCUCUACCCUCAGACGCCGUACCCUCGCCUCUAACAGUGGCCGACGGUGAGUAAAUCUUCCCUUUCUAACCUCAUUUAGAAAAACAUUUAAGAAUCUAACACCUUCAACCACAAAGAAUCAAAAGAACGUCUCAACCUUGGUUGGAUUCAGUUUUAACGGAGGAGAAACUCUGACGAUAUUCCAACGAUUCUGGUGAGCCCUUAUCCUUUAUCCUCUUCUUUUUUGUUUAUAGUAGAUGCGAAAAUGAAAGCAAAAAAGCAACGAAAAAAAUUGAAAUAUAAUAAAUCACCUUCGAAUAAUAUUGAUUUUCUAAUUAUUCUUGUAUUUCAUUUAGUAUCCGUAUUGUAUUUCUGUAAAAAAAAAGAUCCCUUUACACUUGACUUCAUUCGGUUUUAUAGCUGAAAAAUAAAAAUAAAAAUAAAAUAAGAAAAUACAAAUUUUCUUGCUGUUAUUGGCUGUCAAUUGCUGCUUGCUGUUGUGGGUGUUAGUCUGUUGCAGGUGUGUAUGGCGUGGAGAAGCCGUUCGUGGGCGUGUUGACGUGAGCGUGAAGCAACGGCGCGUGUGGAAGCUGGCACGAAGGCAGCAGUGGUGUUGGAAGCUGCUAGAAACCAAUUGCGGCGCAAGGGAAAGAAACCCUUAGGGUUUCUGCUAAAAAAUGUCUUGGGCCGUUUGGGCCUGUCUCAGGAUAAUUGGGUAGGGUUUCAAUUGGGUUAAGGCUAUUAGGAAUUUAGGUUAAUAAUUUGCUUGUAAGUAGGCUAGGUAAUUGGGCUUGUAACAUGGACAUUGAAUUGCUAUUAUUGGGUUUUAUUUUGUUAUUAUUAUUUUUUAUUUUGGCUUUGGUAUGGUUUUGGUUUUAGUUUAGGCCCGGACAAAAUGAGCCUAUUACAUGGAGUGUCACACAUUUGAUUACUAUUAUUCCAUACAAAUUAGGUAAAAGUAAUGUAGAAUUAUAAAACGUUCUAUAACUUUUAUAACACUUAGGAUACUAAAUACAUUAUACAUGAAUAAUAUAGAAUUUAUAAUAUAAUCUUUAUAAACCUAAAUUUCUAUUAAUGGUACUGGCAUGAAAUGUGCUUUAAAACCUAAUUUCCUAAAUGAAACAUACUUUAACUGAAGAAAAUAAAAACGAACCCAAAAUUUGAAACUUUGCAAAACAUCCCGAUCCAUUGAACCAGAGAUCACUUUGAAAGUUUGAGUCAGGAAGGUAACUUGGGUGCUUUGGUGUAUCGAUUUUAUGCACAUUUUGAUUUCAAUUAAUGAUCCAAAAAAAAAAAUGAUAUAGUUCGUCACUAAGGUAGAAAAUUCUACAACCAAAUAUAUGAAAUGCCAAG
rnacentral:lncRNA from 1 species